rnacentral:rRNA from 1 species
UACAGAGGGCUCGAGCGUUAGGCGGAAUCACUGGGCUUAAAGCGUGUGUAGGCGGAUCGUUAAGUGCCUUGUGAAAUCCCACGGCUCAACCGUGGAACUGCUUGGCAUACUGGCGGUCUUGAGCAACCUAGGGGCGAGCGGAACAAAUGGUGGAGCGGUGAAAUGCGUAGAUAUCAUUUGGAACGCCAAUGGUGAAAACAGCUCGCUGGGGGUUUGCUGACGCUGAGACACGAAAGCCAGGGGAGCAAACGGG